rnacentral:tRNA from 2 species
GCCUGGGUAGCUCAAUGGAAGAGCAUACGUCUCAUAAGCGUAGUACGAGGGUUCGAUUCCCUCCCCAGGCA